rnacentral:rRNA from 1 species
ACUCCUACGGGAGGCAGCAGUGGGGAAUAUUGCACAAUGGGCGAAAGCCUGAUGCAGCCAUGCCGCGUGUGUGAAGAAGGCCUCGGUUGUAAAGACACUUCUAGCGAGGAGGAAAGGUUAACGUGGCUAAUAUCCAGUAGCUGUGACGUUACUCGCAGAAGAAGCACCGGCUAACUACCGUGCCAGCAGCCGCGGUAAUACGGAGGGUGCGAGCGUAAUCGGAAUUACUGGGCGUAAAGCGUGCGCAGGCGGUUUGUUAAGCGAGAUGUGAAAGCCCGGGCUCAACCUGGGAACUGCAUUUUGAACUGGCAAACUAGAGUCUUGUAGAGGGGGUAGGAAUUCCAGGUGUAGCGGUGAAAUGCGUAGAGAUCUGGAGGAAUACCGGUGCGAAGGCGGCCCCUGGACAAAGACUGACGCUCAUGCACGAAAGCGUGGGGAGCAACAGGAUUAGAUACCCUGGUAGCGACUGA